rnacentral:misc_RNA from 1 species
UGUAGCAUUCGAUAGCCACCAACCUUCCACUGCCUUCAAGAAGGUGAGUUGCUGACGUUUUUUUUUCGCACAUUUUGUUGUGAUUGAAGUAAAAUAAGUACUGCGCAUCGCACCGUGAACAAGAAAGAUAUCGAAAUGGCUGCUCCUGUCAGUAAAGAGCAUCUAGCUCAAUUGAAAGUGUUCACCGAUUUGUGCAUUGAUAACCCUUCGAUCCUGCACCUCCCGGACCUCGCGUUUGUCAAAACUUUCAUCGAACAUUUCGGAGGUAGUGUCCCAGAUACCAAAAGCAGCAACACCUCGGGGUAUCCGAAAUUUAAACCUCAACCCGCCCAGUCGAAUAUUCCUGAGCCUGAGCCAGCUCCGGAAUCUGAUGAAAGUGAUAUCGAACUUGAUACGACUGGUGUCAUCGAACCGGAUACAGACGCCCCACAGAAAAUGGGUAAUCCUACUCUUCAGCCAACUGAGGAAGAAGUGGCCGAAUCUCAGGCAAAGCGUUCCGAAGCAGUGUCCGCUUUUGUCGAAAAUAACUAUGAAAAGGCGCUGUCUUUGUACACAGAGGCUAUUGUACUGAACCCUCAAGCUUCUUUGCUGUAUGCAAAGCGUGGGCAACUGUACUUGAUGCUCAACAAACCCAAUGCUUGUAUCCGCGAUUGUGAUCGUGCUCUUGAAAUAAAUCCAGAUAGUGCUGCCGCGCACAAGUUCAGGGGACGUGCUUACAGAUUACUUGGAAAAUGGGAGGAGGCUGCCAACGACCUUCGUCUAGCUUGCAAAAUCGAUUUUGAUGAACAAGCUGAUGAAUGGCUGCGAGAAGUUACUCCUAAUGCUCGCAAGAUCGAGGAACACAAACGGAAGCAGGAACGUAAAAAGGCUGAAAAAAUUGAACGUGAGAGAAUGGAAAGACUGAAGAAAGCCCGAGAGGAGGCAAAAUUGAGGGAAGAUAACACGCGUCCAUCCCAAACUGAAGGCUCCGCACCCGGAGCAGGAGGUGGCGGUGCUCCUGGUACCGGUGAUUUUUACCAAUUCCUUAAGGACCCUGAAGUUCUACAAGCUUUCCAGGAUCCGGAGGUAGGAGAAGCGUUUAAGGACAUUUCUGCGAACCCGGCGAACAUAUUGAAGUACCAGAGCAAUCCGAAGAUUAUGGCACUGAUUAAUAAAAUGGCUUCAAAGUUUGGGGGGGCGGGAGGUGGAAUGCCACCGGGUAUGGCUGGCAUGGCAGGAGGCAUGGGCGGAUUUCCAGGCAUGAUGGGCGGUAUGCCCGGCUUUGGUGGUACAGGUGCAGCACCACCUACCGAUCCGUCUAGACCUAAGAACUCUGCAGACGACGUAGGCCUCGAUUAAAUUCAACAGGCUGGGCAAAGUGAAGAGGGCUUCAUACUGCUGUCCAUAUGCUUGGGGAACCUGUUGGACGUGAUGGCAGAAUGAUGCAGAUUCGUUAUCUUUGGUUUUCCUGACCAAUUGCCUAUUCUUCAAUCUAUACUAUGCAGCAAAUUUCGCAUGCUGAAUUCGCAGGAUAUUUGCAAUUGCAAAGUCCUGCUAGUGUGAAAAAUCAUCUUCUUCGGAUACACAAGCUUUUGCUUUAAAGUUGUUGACAUUGAUGAGAUAACUCUUAAUUAUUUCUUGCUGAAAAUAUCUAAGAGAUUGAUUAACAAAUAUUCUGAACAUUAUGCUGCAUACAAUUUUAUUUAUGUGUCAUGAAUGAAAUUAUAAGACCGAGGUAAAUCGAUUUAAAUAAGUUUGCUCAGUUUAUAUCAUGCUAAUAAUUACGAAUGAUAUUCGAUUUGGGGACUGAUAUUUUAAGGACAGCGUAUAACACAUAUAUUCUUACUCUUAUAAUUUUUAUUUGACGUUACACAUUUGGCAAUUAUUACCACAAUUGCUCGUUCAAUUUGAUUAUUCAGUAUAGAGAUAUAAAAUUCUUAUAAAACUUAUGUUUUUUAUCAAUUGUAAGUGUAUAUAUAAAUUGGGCAGCCGUGAUAAAAAAAAAUCUAUUUGCACAGUUA